rnacentral:rRNA from 1 species
GACGUAGGGAGCGAGCGUUGUCCGGAUUCAUUGGGCGUAAAGAGCGCGCAGGCGGCUUGGUAAGUCGGAUGUGAAAACCCGGAGCUCAACUCCGGGCGUGCAUCCGAUACUGCCCGGCUAGAGGUAGGUAGGGGAGAUCGGAAUUCCUGGUGUAGCGGUGGAAUGCGCAGAUAUCAGGAGGAACACCGGUGGCGAAGGCGGAUCUCUGGGCCUUACCUGACGCUCAGGCGCGAAAGCUAGGGGAGCAAACGGG